GGCUUCGUGAUUGAGUGGUAAGGACACUUGUCUCUUACCCAGGAGUUCCGGGUUCGAUUCCCGGUCCAGGAGCUA